UACGAAGGGUGCUAGCGUUGUUCGGAAUCACUGGGCGUAAAGCGCGCGUAGGUGGCUAUUCAAGUCAGGGGUGAAAUCCUGGGGCUUAACCCCAGAACUGCCCUUGAAACUGUUUAGCUUGAGUGUUGGAGGGGAUAGCGGAAUUGCUAAUGUAGAGGUGAAAUUCGUAGAUAUUAGCAGGAACACCGGUGGCGAAGGCGGCUAUCUGGACAACAACUGACACUGAGGCGCGAAAGUGUGGGGAUCAAACAGG
rnacentral:rRNA from 1 species